CCUACGGGAGGCAGCAGUGAGGAAUAUUGGUCAAUGGACGAGAGUCUGAACCAGCCAAGUAGCGUGAAGGAUGACUGCCCUAUGGGUUGUAAACUUCUUUUAUAUGGGAAUAAAACGUUCCACGUGUGGGAUUUUGUAUGUACCAUAUGAAUAAGGAUCGGCUAACUCCGUGCCAGCAGCCGCGGUAAUACGGAGGAUCCGAGCGUUAUCCGGAUUUAUUGGGUUUAAAGGGAGCGUAGGUGGAUUGUUAAGUCAGUUGUGAAAGUUUGCGGCUCAACCGUAAAAUUGCAGUUGAAACUGGCAGUCUUGAGUACAGUAGAGGUGUGCGGAAUUCGUGGUGUAGCGGUGAAAUGCUUAGAUAUCACGAAGAACUCCGAUUGCGAAGGCAGUUCACUGGACUGCAACUGACACUGAGGCACGAAAGUGUGGGUAUCAAACAGGAUUAGAUACCCGAGUAGUC
rnacentral:rRNA from 1 species